AAGAACUUAGGCUAAUCUAGACCAAAGGCCUUCAAAGCCUUUAGUAGAAGUUAAAAUCUUCUAGUUUUUG
rnacentral:tRNA from 1 species